rnacentral:lncRNA from 1 species
GUGAGUGGUGAAAAUUUGAAUUUUUUCUGUUUGUGACAGUUGUAAAUCGAGUAAUUAAUGUUUGACUGAGAUUGAAAUUCGGAGGAUCUCUAAAAACUGAAUUGCGGAUCGUAUGAUUCUUUUAUUUGUUAUAAGGUUUCAUACUCUUGGGACAGCGAGGGCUUUUUUUAAUAUUUAGAUUUUUCCCCAGAAAGUAAUCAAUCUUUCGCGGAGAUAUAGAAUAACAUUUUUCUACACUGAUGGCCAAUCCUGAUUUUUCUUUACGGUAUUUCUAUGUCUUGUAUUUACUACAUAAUCUAUAGGUAAGAUUAGCUAAUUACUUUAGUUCGCGAAGUAAUCGGUUUCUUAUUUGAGGCAAAAGAGUCAAAUUAUUAACAUUAAUUCCCUUACAUUGUAAUGCUGAAUGGUUACUAUAUCCUGAUUGUGGAUAUAUAAGGUGCUCUAGCUCUAUGCGGAUGUAGCAUUAUACGACGGCUUCAAUUAAACCCAUAACUUUCGACACGGAACAUAAAUAUGUGUAAAAGUCCACUCAUAUUGCAACAAAUAGUAGAUAUGAACCCAUAGCUUUAAAAACGACUAGGUUCAAUACUAAGAAUUUUAGAGAUUGAGUCAUAUAGUUUAAAUCCUAGAGCUGCCUCUGUCCAUCAAUGCAUG